rnacentral:rRNA from 1 species
AUACGUAGGGGGCGAGCGUUGUCCGGAAUGAUUGGGCGUAAAGGGCGCGUAGGCGGCGCGGUAAGUCUGGAGUGAAAGUCCUGCUUUCAAGGUGGGAAUUGCUUUGGAUACUGCCGCGCUUGAGUGCAGGAGAGGUUAGCGGAAUUCCCGGUGUAGCGGUGAAAUGCGUAGAGAUCGGGAGGAACACCAGUGGCGAAGGCGGGUAACUGGGCUGCAACUGACGCUGAGGCGCGAAAGUGUGGGGAGCAAACAGGAUUAGAUUCCCUGGUAGUCCACACUGUAAACGAAGAAUGCUAGGUGUAAGAGGUAUCGACCCCUUUUGUGCCGGAGUCAACACAAUAAGCAUUCCGCCUGGGGAGUACGGCCGCAAGGUUGAAACUUAAAGGAAUUGACGGGG